AAGACUGUUGUCAUAAAACAGAAGAAUGCAAGAAGGUAAUCCAAACAACAGGUUUUGACAAAUACACGUGGAUAGCAGGUGAGUGACUGGUCAACAGAGCAAUGCUGAGAUAGUUCAGUGAAUAACAGUCUUAUCUUUGUAGGUUUGGAUGAACUGGUGUUGGUGAGCUGGAUCCGGAGGUUGGAUGCAGAUGAAUAUUGAUCGGAAGAAGAAAUGCAGCCUUGCUCCUCUGAGACUCAAGGAAAGAAAUACACCCAGACAUUCUCAGAGGAAUGGAGAUCUGAACAUGAUUUUAAGGACACUGAGAUGCAUAUGAAACUAGAAGUUUAUACACAACAGGAGGAGAAUGAAGAGCAAAUGCACCUGUGCAGUGAAUCAGCAUCUUUAUCACCAUGUAUGUACAAUUAUCAUGAUCAGAUGCCCAGCAAAGACAAUGAAACCCAAAUGAUGGACAAUAGUGAGAACAAUUUUCCCUUUAUUAACAAAGCACCUCGAAUUAAGACUGAACUUGAGAGUAAUUCUGAAACAAUUACCACCUGUCAAGUACAGCAGCACAUCACAAAACACGGCUUGAAUGAUUCAGGGGCCAGUGAUGCUUCCAGUGAUGCCAACAAAAUCACAUUCAGCCACAUUGGCUCCCCCAGACAUGAGACACAAACAUUUAAUCUGCCCCUCAGAAAUCAAGAGAUGUUGACCCAGAUAAGAGACAGAUUGGCAGAUGAAGAGCAAAAGAAGGCUGCAGCUCAAGCUAGAUCCCUAAAGCACAAGCAGAAAGUAUAUGGGAAUCCUGAGCUUCAUGAGGCAUACAGAAAAAAGGAGAGAGAGAGAUAUCAAAGACGAAAAUCUCAGGGGAAAGUGAAAUUCGCUAAAGAUCUGAACCCAACAGAACUGAGAAGGCAACAGAAAAAGUGGAGGGAGAAUUCAGCCGCUUACAGGAGAAAGAAAGCAUUUCAGGAGGUUUUAGUCAAUAUUAAAGAAGAAAUUAAUCAAGUCAUCCCAGAGUCAGAGCCGUCCACCUCCUCUGAUCAACAUUAUGGUGUUUUUUAAUGUUCACUGAGAGAUUUGGGCAAAAUAUUCCUGUUUCUCAACUGAUAGAUUAUAUGAGUAUGUCAUUAGCCAGAGCCGAGGUCAUUGGUAGGAUUCCCAGAAAAUGCUCAUCUCAAUGUAUUUAAUGCACUUUACAACAUCUACCAAAUGCAUUAAUGUAAAUAUUCUUUUAAAAAAGUAAACUGCAUGCAUUCUGACAGAAAUACUAGCACAUGCACAUUGAUUCCAUGUCAUCAGUGUAAUAAUUUAAUUAAAAUAUACUUUAGAUUACACAAAUGACCAAGUAUUUAUGAUUCUUUAUGCUCUUGAUGAAUUUUGAAAUAAAAAAAAAAGUGAAUGAAGCA
ensembl:lncRNA